AUUGAACGCUGGCGGCAGGCCUAACACAUGCAAGUCGAGCGGAUGAGUGGAGCUUGCUCCAUGAUUCAGCGGCGGACGGGUGAGUAAUGCCUAGGAAUCUGCCUGGUAGUGGGGGACAACGUUUCGAAAGGAACGCUAAUACCGCAUACGUCCUACGGGAGAAAGUGGGGGAUCUUCGGACCUCACGCUAUCAGAUGAGCCUAGGUCGGAUUAGCUAGUUGGUGAGGUAAAGGCUCACCAAGGCGACGAUCCGUAACUGGUCUGAGAGGAUGAUCAGUCACACUGGAACUGAGCCACGGUCCAGACUCCUACGGGAGGCAGUAGUGGGGAAUAUUGGACAAUGGGCGAAAGCCUGAUCCAGCCAUGCCGCGUGUGUGAAGAAGGUCUUCGGAUUGUAAAGCACUUUAAGUUGGGAGGAAGCGCAGUAAGUUAAUACCUUGCUGUUUUGACGUUACCAACAGAAUAAGCACCAGCUAACUUCGUGCCAGCCGACGCCGUAACAC
rnacentral:rRNA from 1 species